GAUGAAGAACGUAGCAAAAUGCGAUAAGUAAUGUGAAUUGCAGAAUUCAGUGAAUCAUCGAAUCUUUGAACGCACAUUGCGCCCGCCAGUAUUCUGGCGGGCAUGCCUGUUCGAGCGUCAUUUCAACCCUCAAGCACAGCUUGGUGUUGGGACUCGCGUUAAUUCGCGUUCCCCAAAUUGAUUGGCGGUCACGUCGAGCUUCCAUAGCGUAGUAGUAAAACCCUCGUUACUGGUAAUCGUCGCGGCCACGCCGUUAAAACCCAACUUCUGAAUGUUGACCUCGGAUCAGGUAGGAAUACCCGCUGAACUUAAGCAUAUCAAUAAGCGGAGGA
rnacentral:misc_RNA from 1 species